rnacentral:rRNA from 1 species
UGGGGAAUUUUGGACAAUGGGGGCAACCCUGAUCCAGCAAUGCCGCGUGAGUGAAGAAGGCCUUCGGGUUGUAAAGCUCUUUUGUCAGGGAAGAAACGGUAGUAGCGAAUAACUAUUACUAAUGACGGUACCUGAAGAAUAAGCACCGGCUAACUACGUGCCAGCAGCCGCGGUAAUACGUAGGGUGCAAGCGUUAAUCGGAAUUACUGGGCGUAAAGCGUGCGCAGGCGGUUGUGUAAGUCAGAUGUGAAAUCCCCGGGCUCAACCUGGGAAUUGCAUUUGAGGCUGCACGGCUAGAGUGUGUCAGAGGGGGGUAGAAUUCCACGUGUAGCAGUGAAAUGCGUAGAUAUGUGGAGGAAUACCGAUGGCGAAGGCAGCCCCCUGGGAUAACACUGACGCUCAUGCACGAAAGCGUGGGGAGCAAACAGGAUUAGAUACCCACGUAGUCCCUGAGCGGGCUGGCAAGGCGCAU